GACAGAGGGGGCAAGCGUUGCUCGGAAUCACUGGGCGUAAAGGGCGCGUAGGCGGGAUGGCAAGUCAGUCGUGAAAUCUCUCGGCUCAACCGAGAAACGUCGGCUGAUACUGCCGUUCUUGAGGGAUGCAGAGGAGACUGGAAUUCCCGGUGUAGCGGUGAAAUGUGUAGAGAUCGGGAGGAACACCGGUGGCGAAGGCGGGUCUCUGGGCCUUUCCUGACGCUGAGGCGCGAAAGCGUGGGGAGCGAACCGG
rnacentral:rRNA from 1 species